rnacentral:lncRNA from 1 species
AGGGCCGCACCUGCAGCAUAUGGAGAUUCCUGGGCUAGGGAUCAAAUUAGAGCUACAGCUGCUGGCCUAAGUCACAGCCACAGAAACGCAGGAUCCGAGCUACAUCUGUGACCUACACCACAGCUCACAACAAUGGUGGAUCCUUAACCCACUGAGCAAGGCCAGGGAUUGAACCAGCAACCUCAUGUUCCUAGUAGGAUUCGUUUCCACUGCACCAAGACGGGAACUCCCCACUUGUUUUGCACAGAACCUAGUAUAUAAUCAGUGCUCAAUAAGUAUUGCUGAAUUGAAUGCAUAACUAGAUGAAUCCAAGCAUAAUCUAAACUUUAAACUUCAGGAACUGAGUGAGAAAUCUUUGUUGUACUAAUACUGGGAGGGUUGGUGGUGUCAAUAUCAUUAUAACUAAUGUAACAAACGUGUCUAUAAGACUUUUAUAGCUAAUGGACUACAACUUUUUAAUUAAAAUAUUAUAAAGACUGUAAUAAUAAAUAUGCUUUUAUUAAAGAAGAUUAUAAUAAAUUUCUUUUGGGAAUUAAUCAAAAUUUAUAAACAAUUUAUUCAUAAUACAAUUUAAUCAAAUUUAUUUCAUUAAAAACAUUUGCCUUUUUGAAAAGCUGUCCUUUUGAUGAGGUGUCACAAAUGAAUCCUAGUAUCCCUUGAGAAAUACUGGCAGCUCAUCUUAUUCUUGUGUCAAUGUUAAACUGCAUUUCCCUGUGGCCAAUUUCUAGCUGUCUAGAUAUGGAGCAUCUAUUGCUAGGACUUCAGAAGCCAAUGAGCAACUUGCCUGUCACAUGCUCCAACAAAUGAUCUCUCCCUGCAUGCAGUGUAGCUAAGCAGAGAAGCAAUUCUCAUAAGAGGAUAACCAAGACAGGCUGGAAUGUUGCUAAACGUACAGUUUAUUACCCAGCCAAGUUGCCUAGCCUGACCGCCCCACCCCCCAAAAAAAACCUAGCAAUUUGCAAGUUGGUUUUGUACCAGGCAGUCCCAGUUUAGUUGUUUGUUGCUCACAAGCAGAUGUCUGAGAGCAGUUCAGCCUGCAGUCGGAUGCUUUUGCAGGGCUCUCCCCUUAAAAGUCAAAAUUGAAGCAAGUCAAUGGACUACAAUUUCCUGGGCUUGCUUUUAUUAUUUGUAAAAUAUCACAAUUAAUUGCACUUUGCUAAAGGGAAACUCCAAAGUCUUUUUUAAGGUAUCUUUCCUUCUAAGAAAUAUUAAGUAAUUUGGUUUUUUAAUAAAAAAAGAAAGAAACUCAGUAAUAGAGGAAAGAAACCACAAGUUAAUAAGAGCUAAAUAACAUAAUUUUACUUUUAAGAAAAACAUGUAGUAUGAGAAAACUUUAUUUUACAAAACUACAAUGAGACAACAUACUCUAGGAAAACUUGGUUAUUAAUUCCUCCGGAAGAAUGAUUACUACUUAAAGGACAAAACACUAUUAAUUGCUAUUCUUCAAUUAUUUCACUAGCAAGUUAAAUUUACAAAAAUAUGCAAAAUCCUAUCAUAUAAAUCAAAAAUGACUCAGUAUUUUUUUUUGGGGGGGAGAGGUGUAAUGAGAUACAUUUCAUCAAAUUGUUAACACCAGUUCACUUCUCAUUAAUUGGGUCUCAUUUACAUCUUUCUGUACUUCUACCAAGAUUAAUUUCAGGGUAAGAUUGUCUCCAGCUAGCAUAUACUGUAAAACUGGAAAUUUUUUUCCAGUCUUCAUGGACCAUUUACAAUCUGCAGGGUUUAGGGUGGGUAUGAAAUGUAUUUCUGCCAAUGGAUAGCCACAUCAGCAGUGCUGAAAACCAAUCCUUCUGUUUCAUUCAUGGUGCCAUAUGGUUCCAUAAAAAUGGAGCGAACCAAAAGUGCAGCUAAAGCACCCUGUCAAUCUGGGUUUAGACUAAUUAUUUUAUGUUAUGAUAAAGAAGCUGUAGAUGAAUGUAUUCUCUCAUUCUUUCUUUAGUUGUCUACCACCAUACGCAUGUACUAAUUCAUUGGGAGAGGGGAAAAAAUGAGGUUUAAGACCGCUUCUAUUUUACAGGAACUGUGUUAUUUUUAAGUAAAUACAUUUCGGUAGAAGUAUUAUAGUUUCAAGCAGAAAAUCCUGGGUGUUUUAUAGUAACAUCUUCCAAAAUAUUAACCCUCCUGGUUGAAACCCUUUCCAAUCCAAUAAGUGAUUUGAGUGCCCCGGGGCAAUUAAAAGGCAAGCUGAAGCACCAAGAUGAAGUUGUGCCCCCCUAGUGACCUCUAGAGUGAAGCAAGCAAGAAUCCCACAAGCAAGACUCGGCGGGGCGGGGGGCGCAAGAACUUGGGCUGGGGUGAAGGUGGGGGAAGAACCAAGCCAAAGACGAGUGCGCUGUUGUAAACCAAGCCGAUAAAUUCAAUAAUACACCCUCCUCGCAUCUUAAGAGUGUGGUCCUAUUUCACAUAACCCCAAGGCUCAAUAAGUCUCCGCCUCCCGAGCCACGAAGCCCAUUGGGUCUAAAUCCAACUUCAAACACCGCUCCUUCCUCCUCCCCACCAAUGCUCAGGUCCAGUUCUCCCGCGCACAGCCUUUCUUGCCCCUCAUGGUGUCGAGCUGCUUUCCACCUCUCUGCAGUGCUGCAGACAACCUCCCGACCGUUGCUGGUUCUCCAGCUGGAGCGCGGGAGCGCUGGGGAUCCAGCAAGCGGCGACCACUGCGAGUCAGCUCAGCAGGCGCCGGCUGCCGAUGCACCUGCGCCCAGCGCACCGCGCUGCGCAAGUGACGGGGACGGCCCUCUGCC